rnacentral:rRNA from 1 species
GCACAAGCGGUGGAGCAUGUGGUUAAUCGACGCAACGCGAAGAACCUUACCAGGGAUUGACAUCCCCUGACCGGAUAUGAAAGUAUCAAUUCCUCUUCGGAGGACAGGGAGGCAGGUGGUGCAUGGUUGUCGUCAGCUCGUGUCGUGAGAUGUUGGGUUAAGUCCCGCAACGAGCGCAACCCUUGUCAUUAGUUGCCAUCAUUUAGUUGGGCACUCUAAUGAGACUGCCGGUGACAAACCGGAGGAAGGUGGGGAUGACGUCAAGUCCUCAUGGCCCUUAUGGGUAGGGCUUCACACGUCAUACAAUGGUCGGUACAGAGGGUUGCCAAGCCGCGAGGUGGAGCCAAUCCCUUAAAGCCGAUCGUAGUCCGGAUCGUAGUCUGCAACUCGACUACGUGAAGUCGGAAUCGCUAGUAAUCGCAGAUCAGCAUGCUGCGGUGAAUACGUUCCCGGGUCUU